UCUAUAUAUGUUAUUUACCGGCUGCGAGGUCCGGAUGAGAAAAACUGUGCCCGAGGUCUUGAAAACGGCCCGAGCCGGCCGAAGGGCGAGGGACGUUUGCAAGACCGAGGGCACAGUUUUUCUCAUCCGGACCGACGCUGCCGGUAAAUAACGUAUUUAAU